rnacentral:lncRNA from 1 species
AUCACAUCGGAUGUUCUUGAAUUUAAAUUACGCAGUUGAAGACAGAGGUCUAAACUCUUUAUUGCAUCAAUCCUUGAAACCCUCUUACCAUGAAAAUAUUACAUGCUUUCCAGAUGCUAUGAAAUUGUUAUGAGUUCAUCAGGAACUUACUACUUUUUUUUUUAAAUGUGUUGAUAUUUGGUGAAAUUUUUCCAUUAAAAUUGUAAAAGUUAAAUCUUUCUCAGAAUGCCUAUGUUCUUUUUCUCGAAAAAGAGUUUUUUCCACUAAUUGCGUAGUUAAGUGGUACAGGUAGUAAAACUUCUAUGGCAUUUAGAUAGGAGGGUAAAAUGUGUUUGUUGAAAGAAUAAUGAUUUUCAAAUGCUUUGUAGAUUGGAGUGGUGCUCAAAGGAUGGUCAUUAUACGUUUUCCAGUAACACUUUUCACUCUAGAGGAGGUGUUGAAACAGACGGCUGUAACUUUGAUAAUGUGUCAAAGUUAGCUUUGUCACGAGUUAGCGUGAACCUUUCAUAGUGUGCUCCGAUAAUUUCUUAAACCUAGUACAACUGGUUUGCCAGUGGCAAUAAGACAGUGGUUCUCCAAUGAAUUCCGGCCCACUGUGUAAUCCAGGGAAAUGAGGCUAUCGAUUUCUUGUCAAUAAAUGUUGCCUUUGUCCUCCUGAGACUCAAUUUCAGAUUUUCUUUUAAUAAAUGUCAAAUGUCUAACAUAGAUCAUCAAAAUUCUUCAGGGACUCCAUUCGCGAGGAACUCAAAAACCGCAAUUCCUAUGAACCAUGGCUUAAAGAGAUUCUCAAUCUUCCUCAGUGGUCUAGGAUUAAAUCUCUCGCCAUGUUUCAUCUGAUAUCUAGAAACGACUGCCUCAAUAAGCAUCUAUAUCGCAUCAAUAUGGUUCGGGAUCCUUUUGUACCUUGUGUGAUUUCCACAAAGAGGGGGAUUUAACCAUUUAUCUCACGUGUUUAGAUCUCCUGUUGUUUUACGGUCUUCAAUCCGGGAAUGCUAGCUGGACUGACUGCUCGCUUUCAUCUACAGAUAGAUUGUUUUCUUUUUGACUGUCAAUUUUUUUUAACGUGUCAAUGGAAAUAAAAAAAAUAAUUAUAUAAAAUAUACAGUCAGAGUGAGAUAAAAAAUGAUUACAGAUCACCCUCACACUUUUGCAGAGCUGAAUAGAUUUUUACUCUGUGCAGAACUAUGGCAAUAUCUCAAAGAAAUACUCUUAUAACAGUUUACGUUAACCCUUUCGGAUUUUACUUAUUUUGACUCGUAACAUAUGCCAUGUAUCUUGAACGAAGGACUCUUCUUCUUAUUUAUUUUUCUUAACUUCAUUGGAUUAACCUUGUGCGAAAAACCCCUAAAACUAAAUUUCAUAAAAUUCUGACAUAAAGACAGCUGCCGAAACAAAUAAAUAUUUGGCAUAAGAAAUUUUUUUUAAAAAAAGCAGUCUUCCAUUUUUGAUAUUGGUAGAAACUGGUUUACUAAAAAUGUUGCUUCAAGUUGUUUGCUGUCUAAAUUUAGAUAUAAAUACAGAAAAAAUAAUGCGACAAAAUCUUUAUAAAAGUGAUAGUAGUAAGAUUUUCUUUUUACAAUUUCAAUAUAGGAAAUAAUGUAUUUUAUUACUUUUUCUCUGCCUGUUUGUCUAGAGAAGUUUUAUCUUAACCAAAGAUUAUAUUCCUGAAACUAAGGCUUUUUUAUCAUUUAGUUCAUUCAUAUUAAGAAGGAAACUUACAUUUUUUUCCCUCGAAGGAAAUAUCU